ensembl:lncRNA
AUGUAUGUCAAGUCGCGGCUUUGUUUUGUUUUAAAUCAUUUUGUUUUUGGAAAGAUCAUGCUUUUUUUUUCUUUUCUCAAAUGUUUUAAGUUAUCAAUUUUCAAUAAUAAAUUAACUCGUUUUUUUCAACUUGAAGCCUCAAGUGGUAUUAUGUUAACGUAUGGACUAAAUGUAACCCAUGAAUGUAACUCAUUUGUCAAUGUAACCAUCCGAUGCCAGUGUAAUUAUGCAUUGGGUGUUACGAUUGUUACUUAGGGUGGAUGGGGAAGGUGUAUAACAUGAAUGUCUAGUAACCCCAAUGUUUGGCAUUUUAGCAAAUCUUCAACAACGUACUACUUUAUAGCUACUUUGCAACUACUUAGCAUGUAAGCUAACCCUUCCCCUAACGCUAACCUUAACCCUUUCAGCUAACCCUUCACCUAACUCUUAAACUGAACCCUAACCUUAACCCUAAUGCCUAGCCUAGCUAGCAUUAGCGAGCUAGCUAACAUUAGCCACCUACUAGAAUUUGUAAUAUAUCAUAUGUUUUGCAAAUUCGUAACAACAUAUCUGUUACACCCUGAUCUGAUUCACCUGUCUUUGCUUGUUUCCAUCUCCCUCCAUCUUCCCCAUUACCCCCUGUGUAUGUAUACCUGUGUUCUCUGUUUGUCUGUUGCUAGUUAGUUUUGUUUCGUGAAACCUACCAGCGUUUGUUCCCCUGUUCCUGUCUGUUCUUGCUCCUGUUAUCCAGUCCUUCCCGGUUUUGACUAUUCUACCUGCCCUGACCCUGCCUGUAGUUCUAUACCUUGCCCCACCUCACUGGAUUAUUGACCCCUGCCUACCCUGACCCUGAGACUGCCUGCUGUUCAGGACAUUUUGCAGCCUCUCUGGAUUACUGACCUCUGCCUGCCUUUGACCUGUCGUUUGCCUGCCCCUGUACUAGAAAUACACUUUUGUUUCUUUGACACUGUCUGCAUUAGGGUCAUACCUGAAACCUGAUAAUAUCAUACAAAAUGGGUGACGGACAUCCACAAAUUAAUGUAUACCACACGAAAUGUAACAUAUCAUACUAAAUGGAGUGUCUCGAAUCUACAUACAUAAUCAUACGAAAUACUAUGAGACCAGGUUGCAUCCCAUCAUCCCUCUCCUACAUCUCUUUUUUCAAACCAAUCGGUUAACCAAGCAUAACCGAUCUUAUCGUGUCACCUGCACCCUCAGCAUGCCUCCCCCCACCAACAAACAUCCAUCUAUCCACCUGUCAAUCACACCAGCCAGUAGUAGCCAUUAAACAACCAUAGGCAGGACCCAUCCAUCCCAUAAUUUCAGUCCAUCUGUCAAUUCUGGUUACAUUUUCAAUUAUGCUUCUUUAAGGACAUUUGUUGAAUGACUUCUAUGACUGUGUCCCGUAUGGCUCCCUAUUCCCUAAAGUAGUGCACUGUGUAUGGUAUAGGGUGGCAUUUGGAUCUCAGACAAUGUCUGGUCUUCUAAAGCUAUAGGUGUGCAACUUCAACAAUUGAUUGACGAGAUGGCUGAAGGGCUCAGUAAGUGGGAUUAGGCUAGUUGUAUCGCCCCAAGAGGGCUAAUUGUUGAUAAUGCGUGGGCCAAAUGCUUAUUGAUCCCCUGCUUACACAGAGACUCCCAUCCACAUGUUUCCAAUUAUUAUUAUUGAUUGGGCCUUCGUUUGAUUGGCUAGGACAAAACACAAGCAUGCGUUUGUGGGGGGAUUACUGAUGGACAUGAGACAAGUCUUGUUUUAUAGUUAAUGAGACGUGUGUGUGUGUGUGUGUGUGUGUUUGUGUGCUGGUUUGAAAGCGUGUGAAGUGUGGCAUAACUGAGAGUUAAGUGUGUGUAUCCAUGGGCAUGUAUACAGUCCUUGAGCAGUCCAACGGUGUAUGUGCCAUGUGUGACUGUGCAUGUGUGGACCUCCCACGGGAGUCACCGUCUUAGACUAAAAUAUGGUCAGGGAGCCGGAACAAAUUUACAAAUAAUUUGUAGACUCCAAAUUAAUAUUUGACUAAAACAUAAUCAUUUUAAACCUUGCUUACAUUUGUAUACGAUCACAUACAUCUCUCUAUUAUGCGAUUUCUGAUAUUAAAAUCACUUGGAGGUCAUUUCCUGGUGUUUUUACAGUAUUUUAUGUCCAUCCAAAAAUAAUUUAAAAAAAUAAUAAAAACAAUAUCUAUUUUUUUGCUCAGAAAACACUGGGCCAAAUAAAAUCAUCCAUGUGCCAAAUUCGGCUCGCGUGCAACCAGUUGGGGAACCCUGUUUUAGAACAUUAGACCAAGAGAAAAUUCCCAUUUGGUCUAAGGGCAGACACUGCUUUUCAAGUUUGCAGGCGGGGCUACCUCAUCACGUGACCAUUAGCAAUCAUACCCGAGUCAUUUCCACAAUAUGUGCACUGUAAUGAUUGCCUUAAUGCACUACUGAUGAGAUUGGAUUGGGUUAUCCACCCACCUUACCUCCACUGUCCUCAUCUCUGCACUCUCUUCCUCUCCCCUCCACUCUCCUAGGACCUAAAUUUUUUUCUGUCCCCUCCCUCUCCUAUCCUUUCUCUUCUCCUACCUCAUCCUCUCUCCUCCCUCAUCCUCUCCCCUCUCUUGACACUUACCCCCUCCGUCCCUCUGUUGAGGUCGAUGUCCUUCUUCAGCUUCUCGCCCAGCAGGGCCUUCAUGCUGUCCUCCAGCUCCUCCAAGGUGAUGCGCCCAUCCCCGUUGAUGUCAAACUGGGGGGAGAUGAUGAUGGACGGACGGAGGGCAGUGGAUGAAGAUGAUGAUGAUUAUGCUGAUGAGGACUUAUGUAGCAGAUUAUCAGUUACAAUGAAUUAUUAUUCAUUAAGUUAAUUAAGUGGGGAGAAGGCACAAUUCAGACCUGGCUUUCUCUCCUUUAAAUAUCUGUAAUUGACUGCACCUGCUAACCUUAGUUAGCUAGCUAAUCAGUGCAAUUGUACAAAAAAAUCGAGCUAACUACAAUGUCUUCAGAAAUUAUUCAUACCCCUUGACUUACUCCACAUUUUGUUGUGUUACAGUCUCAAUUCAAAUGAAUAACUAAACAUUUUUCAAAAUCUCGCUACACACGAUACCCCAUAAUGACAAAAUGAAAACAUGUUUAAAAUAUAUUUUUGCUAAUUUAUUGAAAUUUACAUACAAAAUAUCUUAUUUAUUUAAGUAUUCACACCCCUGAGUCAAUACUUUGUAGAAGCACCUUUGGAAGCGAUUACAGUUGUGAGUCUUCCUGGGUAAGUCUCUAAGAGCUUUCCACACCUGGGUUGUGCAACAUCUGCCCGUUAUUCUUUUCAAAAUUCUACAAGCUCUACCAAAUUGGUUGUUGAUCAUUGCCAUAGAUUUUCAAAUAGAGUUAAGCCAAAAUGAUAACUUGGCCACUCAGGAACAUUCAUUGUUUUAUUGGAAAGCAACUGCAGCCUUGUGUUUUAAGUUAUUGUCCUGCUGAAAGGUGAAUUCAUCUCCCAGUGUCUGGUGGAAAGCAGAACCAGGUUUUGCUCUAAGAUUUUGCCUUUGCUUAGCUCCAUUUCAUUUAUUUUUUAUCCUGAAAAACUCCAGUCCUUAACAAUUACAAGCAUACCCAUAACAUGAUGCAGCCACCACUAUGCUUGAAAAUAUGGAGAGUGGUACUCAGUAAUGUGUUGUAUCGGAUUUGCCCUAAGAAUAACACUUUUGUGUGCAGAACAAACAUUUAUUUGCUUUGCCUUGUUACAAAAAGGAUGUAAGUUUUGGAAUAUUUGUAUUCUGUACAGGCUUCUUUCUUUUCACUCUGUCAAUUAGGUUAGUAAUUGUUGAGUAACUACAAUGUUGUUGAUCCAUCCUCAGUUUUCUCCUGUCACAGCCAUUAAACUGUGUAACUGCUUUAAUGCCACCAUUGGCCUCAUGGUGAAAUCCCUGAGCGAUGUCCUUCCUCUCCAGCAGCUGAGUUAAGAAGGAUGCCUGUAUAUUUGUGGUGACUGGGAGUAUUGAUACACCAUCCAGUAUAAUUAAUAACUUGCUCAAAGGAAUAUUCAGUCUAACAAUAGGUGUCCUUCUUUGUGAGGCAUUGGAAAAUCUCCCUGAUCUUUGUGGUUGAAUCUGUGUUUGAAAUUCACUCCUCGACUGAGCCUCGACUCGGGGACCGUACAUAUAAUUGUAUGUGUGGGGUGCAGACAGUUGUGUAAAGUAAAAAUACAUCAAAGUACUACUUAAGUUGUUUUUUUGUGGUAUCUGUACUUUACUUUACUAUUUACAACUUUUACCUUUACUUCACUACAUUACUAAAGAAAAUAAUGUACUUUUUACUCCAUACAUUUUCCCUGACACCCAAAAGUACAGUACUUGUUAGAUUUUGAAUGCUUAGCAGGAGAAGAAAAAUUGUCCAAUUUACACAUUUACCAAGAGAACAUGUCUGGUCAUCCCUAUUGCCUCUGAUCUGGCGGACUCACUAAACACAAAUGCUUAGUUUGUAAAUUAUGUAUGAGGGUUGGAGUGUGCCCCUGGCUAUCCGUAAAUUUAAAAAACAAGAAAAUGGUGCCGCCUGGUCUAUUUAAUAUUUGGAAUAAGAAAUUAUUCAUACUUUCACUUUUACUUUUGAUACUUAAGUAGAUUUAAAACCAAAUACUUUUAGACUUUUACUCAAGUAGUUUUUACUGGGUGACUUUCACUUUUACUUGAGUAAUUUGUUAUGAUGGUAUCUUUACUUUUACUCAAGUAUCACAAUUUGGUACUUUUUCCACCACUGGGUACACCUACUCAUUCAAGUGUUUUUCUUUAUUUUUUACUAUUUUCUACAUUGUAGAAUAAUAGUGAAGACA